ACUAUUAUUAUUAUUAUUAUUAUCUGGGCUCUUGGUAUGGUAUGGAGCGUGCAGAGCUGCCCGCCAAAGCUGCAGAUAGUGAGCGCCCCGAAUCGAUUCGAAAAGAAUGCCAUUGUGGGCCGAAGAAACACGGCGCACUCUGGCGCUUGCUAGCCGAUCGGCAAAACAGGAUUUAGGAGCGGGAUCUAAGCAAGGGCAAAAAGCCCAAGGGGAAUAUUGUCGCUUGGUUGAUCAGGUUGACGAUAGAGGUGAGCAGGGCGGCGGAUACAGUACAUACAUUGCCCUGACAGCGAGGAUAUUUCACGAAGAUGAAUAAUAACAUCUAUCAAAAAUGCUACGGGUAUGGCAGUAAUCUUGCAAAAGCAAGUCACAGGCACGCCAAUAACGCCCUUGACGGUGAUAACCACUGGUUGGGGACAUAUAGCUAUAACCCUGCAAAGCCAUAGACGGUUAUCUAAAUAGGAAUGCUCCGCAGGCUGCUCUAACUGAAAGGCAAACUCCGGCCUUGUAUCCUCAGUUAAGAUGCCAAACACCAAUAUAUCACAAAAAGAAAACAGCAUGUUCUCCGUCCUACUUCUUCCCGCAGACAAAAAUUGGGCUAACAGGCUUAAACUAGAUGUUGGUGAAGCAAGCGAAGCAAUUAGGGGGAGAGUCCCCACAACACGUCAUAUACGGCAAACAUGAAUUGAGCAUAAACAAAGGAGGCCAAGGGCGAUAUCCAGAGCUUGCGGUUCAAAAGUGGGCGAGAGGACAAACAGCGGCAUGGGGCCGGUCGUCAUCUCUACCACAGAUUCGAAAGGGGAAAUAAAAAGACAUCCCUUCGAAGUGAGCAGACGGUCCGACCAUAUAUGCUGUGGCGAGGUGGGCAACAUUGUACUGUACAAGCUGCUCGUCGAACCCGUGGCCCUGCUUCCACCUGUCAUUAUGUCUUCUUCCAACGGCUUCGUUCACUAUUAACACAUUCGCAUUUUAAUAAUCACUGAAUCCUGGGUAUCCUAGAGUUUUUAAUUCUUGAAAGGGGCGACCACCCUCUAUCCCCCAGGCGUUCUAAAAAGAAACGGGUUGGGAAAAGAAGGGAGGAACAAAAAAAAUAAAAUAAAAUAAUAACGGGUCAUGUUUAGAAGGUGCAGUUCACACACACAAGUCCCACAAUCCCCGUCCCGAAACAUGGAUUGUAGCAGGAGGAACUGUGCUGAAAUCAGAGGAGAAAUACCCAGCCUCCCCCUUUUCGAUUUCUCUCCUCUCUCACAUCUCCCAUGAUUCACGGUUGCCGCAAAAUUCCACAAUCAGCCUUUCCAGGUCGGCCAACUUGUAUGGUUUCGUCAUAUAGCCUUCCAUCCCCACUUUGGUAGCUCGUCCCAACGCCUCAUCCGUGACAUCCGCACUGACUGCUAGGAUAGUCGGGCUGGGUGGUAAUAAAACGUCCGGGUUCGCACUCCGCAUUCUAUCACGAUGACUCCCAACCAUAUCCAGUAUUUCCUCCGUCGCCUGAUAUCCGUCCAUAUCGGGCAUCCAGAGAUCCAUGAGGAUGACGUCGACAAACUUCGAUUUGGGCACCUGCUUGAUAGACGGCUCGUUGAAUGUUGACAUUUGGCAGUCUUCUAUGAGCGACGUUAUCGUGUCAGUGCUCAUUUCGGAGACACUUCGACUAGAAGGACUUUGCGGGGGUGGUCCUGGGUCGGGGACAACGUCGUUCAAGAUCAUCUCGCUCAUAAUACGAACAGCUUCUUUGCCGUUGAAAGCCUCAUAUACAUCGUUGUAUCCCAGCUUCGCAAGCAUGCUAACGAGAAUUCGUCUAUUGAUUUUGUUGUCUUCGGCUACAAGAAACGUGAGAGGGUAUUUGUCCGCAAGAUGGCGGUCAUAGCCAUUGGAGCUAAGAAGGGCGGAACCGCCACGGGAUGAAAUCGAUAGGCGACGUGAGGGCGCUAGCCAACCGCCGUUUGUGAAGCUCGAGCUUGCUCGAGCUGGUGCCGGGCGGUUUGGAGAAGGAUCCGAUGGGGCAGUUUCGGAACCAUUCCCAACCGAUUUAGGCCCAUUUGUUUGACUGUCGCAACGCGAAGAUGGGUUCGAAUUCGAUUGGGAAACAGUGCACUCGUCGCGUUGGGGCGUGGUUGGCGGGCUGACACUGUCGUUGGGGCUUAUGGGUAGCCGGAUUUCGAAUUCGGAUCCACGAUCUGGUUCUCUUGUCGAAGAACGACGACAUCUUAAAUCACCUCCAAGCUUCCUAGACAAGCCCUUGGCGACUAACAGCCCGAGUCCCAAACCUUCCUUGCUCCUCGUUGUAGAGUCGUCUUCUCGAGCAAAAGGCUGGAAGAGGUUUGGAAGAAAGUCCUCUGGAAUACCGGUUCCAGUAUCGCUGAUAUUAAUUAAAACGCACUUGCCCGAACUACUCAACUUUGUAACAAGCGUAAUGGUUCCAGACUCUGUAAACUUGAGAGCGUUGAUAAAGACGCAGGACACCAACUUGGUAAAGUCUCUUUCGUCGACAUAUAAGAUAUCCGGCACUGAGGGGUCGACAAACCAAUCGAUAAUCUUUGUCGAAGCCCGUCCAUUUGAAGAUCUUGACCUAAUCUCGAUUUUUUGCCCAAACAUGUUCGGCUCAACGAAAGCGGAAUCUGGACGGCCUCCUACAUGGAGUGAUUCGUGGAUAAGCGGUUGGAGUAUCUCACGGAUUUUGGUGGACUGCAGUGUCAUCGGAGGGAAGACCUUGGGUUUAACGUAUAUGCUAGAACACGAAAACUGCUCGGGGAUUGAGGCGCGUCGUGCAUUGAUCAAAGCUUCUUGGACUUCGUUGUCUUCCUCGACUCGCGGGCCGGCUUGAACGAUUUUGUCGCUCUCUUCAACUACCGUCUUGACAUCUGCUCUUCGGGGUGAGAGUUCUCGUCGACGUAAUCUAGGUGAUCUAGAUCCUGACGGAGGGCUAUAAUUCCAAUCAACUGGACUACUCCUUCUACGCUUGUAUGGAUUUACAGCAAUGUUGUUCCCUUCGAUUAGGAUAUUCGGACGAGUAUCGUAUUCUCCACUAUACGACCGCAAAGAAGCUCCAGUACUUUGCUCACCAGCCUGGUUCUGGGGUGUUUCAGGUAUUUGCAUAUUUAGAUCGUAAGCAUGCACCACAUUAUCAGCUGCCUCCACUGCUCUUCGAACGCUAUCUGUAACGUUGUACCAGGCCAUUAACACGACUUGACAUCCAAAAUAAUGAUGGAACGGCGCCAACUACGCUAAAUAUCGAAGACGGAACUAACCUUGGAUUGCCUCAAUGUUAUCUUUGAGCUCCUGAAACACGGGAACUACUCCUGCUGCAUCGAGACGCUUGUCCAUUGCUUCUUGCACGUUGGCAUGCAUGACAUCCAGCAUCCCAACCACCCCUUGCAUCGGUGUUCUUAACUCAUGGGAUAGGCUCCGUGCAUACGGUUUGAACGACUGUGAGCCCGUCGUGGAGUGAUGAUAGACCGUGGGUCUACUUGCUUUUGCUCUGCCUCUUCGCUGUUGUUCGUCUCUUUUCUGGACGAGCAUUGGCUUCUUGUAGUUCUGUUCGUCCAGGAUGCGGUGUUGUACAAAGUCCUCCAAGGAAUGUAGGAUCAUCUCAAGAUAUGCCCAGGAGACAUCACGCCUCGCUAAACCUUCAGCGGUCCACAUCAGCCCAAAAUGAGCAAAACAUUUUCCACCGGAGAACAAAGGAACAGCCAAGUAGGCCUCCAUUGGGAAUGGGAGCAUAUUUGGGCCAUUGCUUAUGUAUGAAGUCAAGUUUUCCGGGAUGAGGAAAACCUUGUCGUGCUUCAUGAAGUCACAAGGUAUAUCUCGAGCG
rnacentral:sRNA from 1 species